GUAUGUCUAAUGUAGAAAUACAUUUUUACAGCACUGUAAUUCUUUAUGUUUGUGUCACAGUGAUGGAUGAUGAUGAUGAUGAGGAGCUGGAGAGAGCGAUGAAGAGCAUAUCACCCACCAAGGAACUGGCACAGUGUUUCCCACCGUGCCGACAGUGAAGAGACCUGUAACCAUUCCUCCUGAGCUGCAGGUUCUGGUGACAGAGGUUGCUCAUCCCAACAAACUGAGUUCUUUCAGCGUGAACUUCAGCUAACCGAGCGCAGAGUGGAAGACAGAGCGGAAAAGAAGAGGAAACUGCCGG
rnacentral:lncRNA from 15 species